AGAACUGGAAUCUUUUGACUCUCAGGCGACUGCUCUUGCUAUGAUUGUAAUGAUGAGGAACUCAGACAGGCAUUCUUAUUUCUCAUUUCAACAACUAGUAUACACCACCAUAUGGAAUCCAGGACAUGAUGUCAGCCCAAAUCUCUGACCUUCAGAAAGUCAAAGUUGUUCGAAGAAAAGACUUCCCAAGAUCAAACCUCUCUGGAUUCAAAUGCGCACAGUUUACUUCCUGUUUUCCAGCUUUCUCCCUGACUGCUUCACUUAUGGAUUCCUCUCUUCACCCAUUACAGGUGGGUAUUUCUAGGAUAUUGUACUCAUCAUCUUUGUCUCCAUGUUCUCACUAGAAGAAAUUUUAUGUAUGCUC
rnacentral:lncRNA from 1 species